CACACUUCUUAUUCUUUGCUACUUUGAUCGGCCUCCCCUUCUUUCCACUACAAGGUGAUCAAUUUCUGAUGGCUGAAGCACUCAUUUCCGUUCUCCUAGAACAAUUGGCUUCAAUCACCCGUCAACAGGUACAACAACAAGUGAAAUUGGUAGUUGAUGUUAAGAAAGAAGUUGCAAAGCUCACCCACAAUUUCCAAGCUAUAGAAGCCGGGCUCAAAGAUGCAGAGGAGAGGCAAGUGAAGGAGGCUUCCGUUAAGCUAUGGCUGGAUGAUUUAAAGGACGCGUCCAACGAGAUGGAGGACGUGUUGGAUGAUUGGAACACUGAAAUUCUGAGGGUACAAAUUGAGAAACAAGAGAAAGAAGCUGGAAAUGCUCUUGAUACGACUAAGAAGAAGGUAUGUCUAUGCAUUCCUACUGCUUCCUUUUGUUCUGGCCAAGUUAGUCGAGUUAUUUUUCGUCACGACAUUGCUAAAAAGAUUAAAGAUCUCAAUGAAAGGUUAGCAACAAUUGCUAAGAGGAGGCAAGAUUUUAACUUUCAGUACACAAAAAGUGGUACUGAACAUAUUGAGCGACAAAAGACUAUUUCUUUUGUUGAUCAAACAUUUGGUCGGGUAGAUGAAAAAGAAUUAUUGGUGGGUAAGUUGUUGAGCGAGCCUGAAGGGCAGAGCCCCAUUGUCAUCCCUAUUGUAGGGAUGGGUGGGAUCGGUAAAACAACCCUUUCCCAACUAGCAUAUAAUGAUGAAAAAGUGAAGGCUAAUUUCACAAAAAGAAUAUGGGUGUGUGUCUCAGAACCAUUUGAUGAGCUCAACAUAGCCAAAGCCAUCGUUGGAGCUCUUGGUGGAGAUGUCAAUUCCAUUUUGAAUAACCUAGAAGCUUUUGUCCAAUGUGUGCACAAAUCUAUGAAGGGAGAAAAGUUUCUCCUCGUCUUAGAUGAUGUGUGGAAUGAAGACUAUACGAAGUGGGAAAAAUUGAAGCUACCUUUACAGAAUGGUGCUCUAGGUAGUAAAAUAAUAGUCACAACACGAAAAGAAGAGGUAGCUAGGAUGAUGGGAGCACCCAAUAACACGAUCAAUUUAAAGGUGUUGAGUGAUGAAGAUUGUUGGUCAUUGUUCGCUAGAAUUGCCUUUGCCAAUAGUAACCAAGAUGAGUGUCGAAAUUUAGAACCUAUUGGUAAGAAAAUUGUAAAGAAAUGCAAAGGGUUGCCUCUUGUUGCUAAGACUUUAGGUGGUCUCAUGCUUUGGAAGAAAACAAAGAAAGAAUGGCAAGAUGUUUUAAGCAGCGAGAUAUGGGAGUUAAACACAGUGGAGCAACAAGUUUUCAAACCACUAUUACUAAGUUAUUAUGAUUUAACUCCAAUGAUCAAGCGCUGUCUCUUAUAUUGUGUUACUUUCCCAAAAGAUCUUGUUAUUAGGAAAAAUGUUUUGAUUGAGUUGUGGAUGUCGCAAGGUUUUCUUGAUUCAGUUGGGAACAAAGAAAAGACAAUACUAGACAUUGGAGAAUCAUAUUUUAAUAACUUAGUAAUGCGAUCUUUUUUCCAGAAUUUCAAAGAAAAUAAAUUUGGAAAUAUUAAAAAGUGCCAAAUACAUGAUAUUGUUCACGACUUUCUUCAAUACUUAACCAAGAAUGAAUGCUUAAUUGUUGAGUUCAAAGGUGGGGAGGAGAGAAUAAAAUUGCCCGAUAAGCUUGGUCAUUUGACCAUAAUGUUUUCACCCGAAGGACCUUUUCCCCUUUCUUUUGACCACUGCCAACGUCUGCGGACCAUUACAACAUUUAAUUGUAAAAUUACAAGUCUCAGCCGAGAGUUGAUUUUACAAUUAAAAUGCGUGAGGACGUUGACUUUGAGUUGGAACGAUAUCAAAGAAGUUCCGGACGAAGUUGGCGUGUUGGUGCACUUGAGGUGCCGUAGCCUUGAAAAGUUACCCGAGGCCAUGGGAAAGUUGACCAGCUUGCAGCAUCUUCAUGCUAAGCGUACGUUGCUGACGUUGCCCAGAUCAAUUGCGAGGUUGAAAAGUCUACGGACGCUAGAUCUGGAUGUUGUAAUUGAAGAUGAAGAAGGAUUGAGGUUAAGUGAUUUGAGAGACAUGGACGAGCUUCAGGGGAAGCUUAGGAUUGAAUUGGUAGGCGAAUUGAAAGAUAGUGCUGCGAGUGAUGCGGAGAAAGCCAAAUUGGUGAACAAGAAACACCUUCUUCAUUUGAAACUACGCUUCGAGAGGAUGCCAUGGUUCGAGUGGAUGGAGAGCGAGAGCGAGGUCAACCAGAGUACCAUCCAGGAAGCAGUAUUGAAUGCCUUACAGCCAAAUUCAAAUCUUGAAUCCUUGGAGAUUCGAUAUUACCGUGGCAGCACCCUGUGCCCCAAUUGGACCUCCUCUUUAAUUAACGUGAAAAGCCUGACCUUCACUGAGUGCAGUAUUUGUAAGUAUGUGCCUCUUUCGGUUUUGGGCUACUUGGGGUCCCUUGAGACACUCAGAUUUGAUUGGAUGGAAGGAGUGAAAAAGGUUGGAUUUGAGUACUCAGUUGAUCAUCAAGUUAUAUUGUUCCCCAAUCUGAAACAACUCGAGUUUAAGCGUAUGUGGGAGUGGGAAGAAUGGGAUCAUCAUGAUGAGAAUGAUGCUACUUCAUCGUCACCAACUUGUUUCAUGCCACGCCUUUCUACUUUAUCCUUCGAGUUCUGCAGAAAGCUGAAGACACUGCCAGACUUCCUUCCAAGGAAGACGCCGCUGCUUCAGAAUCUGAUCAUCAGCUGGUGUGCCAUUCUCUCCCAAAGUUGCAAAGACAGGCAAGGCCCGGAGUGGUCCAAGAUUUCUCACAUCCCAAACAUCCAAAUUGGUGGCCAAACUGUACAAAAAGAUGGAGUUUGGAUCGAACAACAGGAUUGAUCAACAACGCCAUCCAUCCAAUUCCUUGCAGCUGAAGAUUUUUGCUUCAUUGAACCAAUGGAAUGGCAGAAAUAAUCCAACAGUCUCAUUUGAUGUCAUGUUCAAGAUUUUAAUGACAUGCUGACCUCUGCACAUUGAAGACUUUGUGUAACCCUGUUUAAUGUCUGGGGGAAUUUCAUAUUAUCACCCCUCAAGAUAUCAUCAUUCCUCUUCUUUCUUAAGCCCCAGCUCCUCAAAAGCAGCUCAAGAUCUCCAUGGAAUAGUGGAAAGCUGGAAGCCUGGAAUCGUAUCGGAUGUGACCUCUUUGCAGUAGGCCAAAUUGAAGUCUCUUUCUUGUAACUGAGUUGAUAAUGUUGAGGAUUUGACAUCCUUAAUUAAGAAACUUUUGACUCAUUUCAUUGAUCACUUCUGUUGUUCAUAAUACUCCAGCUUCCGAAGAGGUAUAUUUGGCAUUUAUUCUGUCCUUCUCUUGGGGUAUUCUGUUUUCAGUGAGUGGUCUGAGCAGUUGCUAUGUGCUUGAAUGAGUUUGCUUCAGUUAAUUUUAUAUAACGGCAAGGUCCACUAAGCUAUAGUUCCUACUCACUAUUACAUUUAGGGGAAUUCUGAAAUUAUACUGAAUUUCUGUUUCGGCAUACAUAUUAGACUCAACUCAGAAGACUAGAUGAUCCUCGAAGAAAUACUGAAUGCCUACUAUCAUAUCCAAACCUGGAAUCCUUAUAUAUUGGAAACUACAAUGCCUCCAAAUUAAUGCCCCAUUGUCUCUGAAUAAUUUGAAAAGGCUUGAGUUCUCAUGUUGGGGGUAUAUAUGAAGUCGUGCCUCUUUUGGCUUUGGGGAACAUGGCGGUGUCCAUUGACUCUGGUGCAAUAUUUGAAGAUGUCUGUUGUGAAACAGGAGUGGGAAAGAAUUGCAGCUGGGUCUCGGUGGAGUGGAGAGGUUGAUUCUCAAAUUAAAACACCUCUGCAAAUUUGAGGAUUAUAGCUUUGCCUAAUUCUUCCUGAUUCUGCCCAUGUUUGGUUUUUUUAUGUCCAAAAAAUCUUGGAGGAAAUGGACGGCAGUCAUUAUAACUACUUUUGGAACAGCUACAAUUCUUAUGGAAGACACUGGUGAAGAAAUUGUUCAUCUUGGGAGGACCAGAUCUCCAAAAGUUGCAAGAACAGCGGCAUGAAAUCACAAAAUGGCCCAAGGUUUCUCACAUUCUGAACAUCCUGUGUUCUCUAACUAGCUGAGCAGGUAUGUUGCAAAUGGUUGACAAAUUACCCAGGGCAUGGGAAUAUGGACAAUGCUGAGAAAGCAAGAUUGGUAAAUGAGAAGAAACUUGAUUUGGGACCAAGUUUGUGGUACUCAACAAGAGAAGAUCAACAAAUACUGACCCCUUGCACUCAAAUCCAAACAUCAGUAACUACAGUGGCACCACACUGCUCCAAAUGACUAAGGUCUUCAAAUAAUUUCAGAAGGCUUAGGAUCGACGAAUGCAGUUUAUGUGAAUUUGUGCCUCUUUUGGGGAACUUGGUGUCCCUUGAAUAGCUACAGUUCUGUUUUGACAUGACAACUGAAAAAGUACUCCAGAAGGAUUAAUGAUUAAUGGUGAAGAGCAAGCAAGGUUUUUCAAGGGGUGUGCAUUCGGAAAUGUGAAUAGACAGACCCAAAUCAUCAACUAUUAGCUGCCUUGUUGAAGAGGAAGGUCAGGGAGCCCAACGAGGAGGAAAAUUUUACUCUUGGACCUCCUGUAAGGGAUGGAGAGAACUUUUGGUGUCAAUGCUCAUAUUUAUGCACUGCAUGCUUGCAGCACAGGAUGUAUCUACGCGGUGCUUGGUUCUUCAAAUUAGUCCUUUGCAUAUAAAGCUCAAGGCUGCUGGUCCAUUUGCUCAGUCAGCAAUGAGAGCACUUUCUUGUGCUGACAUGACAAAUUUCCACCAACUAUACCCACAGAAAGCUUGUCUGGAAGAAGGUGACUUAAUAAAAGGUUGAGAUUUCUCAAGUGUGAGGUUUGAGAUGAUGCUGUCAUUUCUCAUACAUUUGGGUUUGGUUGGAAUUGAAACUAAUAUUCUAGUAUUAGCUUGCCUCGUAUCUGGCAUGAAUGUAGUUCUGAAAUCUUAAGAAACAUAAAUUGCUUUACUUCAUCACUUGUUAGCUCAUUGUGGUGAGAUACGUAUGGUUUGACAUAUUGAAGUUCGUCCAAGUCAUAGAUAGUCUGAGGAUGUUCUUAUUGUCUGAUUUGACGUAUAUAUAUGGUCCAAUCAUUUGCAGAAAGUAUUUGCACAUUAUACAAAAA